ensembl:lncRNA
UGACCACCUGAGGUGAGCACUGAGUCAGCUGCAGGGGCACAGGUGAAUGCAAUUUCACCUGAGUAACUGGAAGAGGUGGAGCCUGGCUCCACCCCUCCUAGACCCCAUUUAAGGGCUGACUCCCAACGAGGAAGGAUUUCUAGCUGGAGAUCACUCCUCUCGGAGCUCCUCUGUGAGUCCAGGACAUAGAGAAGAUGAUGACUGUGCCAUGAGACACAAAGGACCUGAUCAAAGAUGAAACAAAGCUCACUCAUCUCUGGGCCCUGCUAACAAUGCAAGGCAAAAAACUCUUACUAUCCCAAAGACCCUUUGUUGAGCACACCACUGAUGAAUCAUCAAAUAUCCAAUGUGGAACCCUGCAGGUAGUGAUAAGAAUGAUGUUCCUACUAACAAAGUCCAGUUUUAUACAAGCAGUGUUACCUUCCCUCUGGUCUCAGGGGUCAGGAAUUCCUAAAGACGAGUAUUACCAGGAAAGACUGAGCAAACUGGGGAGAAUUUUCUUGCUCUUCUCAAAACUCACUGGCCCUGACGUGUGAUACCUGUGGGCUAGAGUAUCAUCUGGUCUACUUGGAAUGAAUCUAUACCUGUUUUGCAAAGUGGAAGGCUGCACUGGAGUUCUCAAAACAACUUUACAUGUGUCAUUUGUCAAGGACAAAAACCAGCAAUCUCCAAGAAGAUGAUAAAGGAAAGUUGAAAGUUAAUUCUAUUGCUUUGUCUCUGUCUGAACUGUACCUACUCUGUUUAUAUCCAAAACUGUGCUGAAUCUUACAGACGUUGCUAUCUUAUACAGGGUAUGAGGAUUCUGGGGAGCCAGGUUUGCAAUGUUAUGACCCCACAGAUGAAAAAUUCACUUCAUCUUUAUUCCAGAUAAAUUCACUUCAUCUUUAUUCCAGAAAACCAAACUGAGUGUGAUAUAUAGCUUUCAAAAACACUAACAUUACAUUUCAACUACUGUUUGUGUUACCAGUUGCGUGGACUUCUUAUUUAUUGUCUCUUUUGAUACUAUUGGGAAGGAACCACUCUUUAUCUCUGGCUUGUCCUAAACUUUGAGCUCAGGGAGCUGGGGCCGUACCUUCUUGACUUGUAUAUACACAUUUCAGUCCAUGGAUGAAUGCUCUGUAACAGUCAGAACAAUUACAAAACGGAGCAGAAGAGGGCUAAAUUCUCACUUUCUGUCACACAGAAUACAAUCUGACUUUGCUGACUUAGUGCCUUUCAGAAGUGUUGUCUAUAGAGUGUUUCCUGACCAGUGACUAGGAUCCCUGCCUCAUUCGUAAUUUUAUUCUUGCUUCUUAUAUCCCAGUACUGUGGGGAUUUGGAGAUGUAGACAUGCUAUUUAGUCAUGCACCACCAGAUUAAAGGUUCCAAAGGGGGAAUAGAAAACUUUUUCCUUUUACGUACGGUCUAGCUCUUAAAACAUGUAAAAAUACAGGAAGAAGGUCUAAAUAUUUCAAGAAUCCAUGAAGGAAAAGGAAGCAAUCCAAAUUUAUCUGCUGUCAGAAUGUCAGCAAAUAACAGAAAGUCUCUAUGCCUACAUUUUCCUACCUCUGACUCUCUAACCUAUUGAAAAGAGUAGUGAUACAACUUGAAACAUCAUCUUAGAAACAAGUCCUGACUGGAGAUUAAACUCACGAUGUUAUUAAGAUGAAACUGAGCAACAGCAGAACUCUAAAAUGAGGCUCUUUGAGGAAAAAAAAAAAAAAAAAAAAAAAAAAAGAAAAAAGAUGAACUAGUAAAACGAUGGCAUUAUUUCUGAAGUUCCCACUAAAAAAUCCCAAAAUAAAUAGGAAUAAAAAACCACAAGAACCAAACAAUAGCAACAAAAAAACUUCCCAAACCACCUAGUGAAGAUGCUAAAAAUAAACAUAGAAGAGUUUUGAGAUUAAUGUUUCCAGCUGAGGGAAUACCUGGGGAGAAACAGUUGAAAGUUGUUGCCUGAAACAUAUGCAGUUAUUUGUGCAGAUUACAAAAAAAAUAAAAAUAAAAAUAAAAAAAAUAAUAAAAAAAUUGGGGGUCUGUGGUAGGCUAUGGAUUUCACCACUCAGAGAGCUUAUUUGUAAUGUAACUUCUGAAUGCCCUAUUUGCAAUGCUGAGGAAAUGAUCUUUAUUAUCUUUAAAUUGAUUUAGUGACUGAUACAGUGGUUGGAAACUCUGACUGUGGCAUGGGGGUUAGAACUAGAUGAUCUUUGAGGUCCCUUCCAACCCAAGCCAUUCUUUGAUUCGAUGAAUCUAUGAUUAUGAAAACAGGACAUUCAGGAUUCUUCUGAACUAGUGAAUAAGGUUGGAUUAGAGAACUAGUUAAGAAGAUGAAUCACCAUACUUUGAGGGUCCAGUUUUCUCCAGACCUAAAACUACUUAGAUCUAGAAAAUUCUUUUGCCUUAAAUGGGAUUCAAUUGGUGU